rnacentral:tRNA from 1 species
GCCCGGGUAGCUCAAUUGGUCAGAGCGUCGGACUUUUACAACUACCCCUUCCGAGGGCCUGUAAUCCGAAGGCUGGGGGUUCGAGACCCCCUUCGGGCG